rnacentral:rRNA from 1 species
UACGUAGGUGGCAAGCGUUGUCCGGAAUUAUUGGGCGUAAAGCGCGCGCAGGCGGUUCCUUAAGUCUGAUGUGAAAGCCCACGGCUCAACCGUGGAGGGUCAUUGGAAACUGGGGAACUUGAGUGCAGAAGAGGAAAGUGGAAUUCCACGUGUAGCGGUGAAAUGCGUAGAGAUGUGGAGGAACACCAGUGGCGAAGGCGACUUUCUGGGCUGUAACUGACGCUGAGGCGCGAAAACGUGGGGAGCAAACAGG